rnacentral:hammerhead_ribozyme from 1 species
AUCCAGCUGACGAGUCCCAAAUAGGACAAAACGCGCAAUUUGGAU